AUGUGUCCAGGAAAGAGCUGGGACUGUAGCACUCCGUGUGCCGGCUCAGAUGUCCUGUGAAAACCCCAAAAUAUCUAUAAAGUGGGCUUGGAUUUGGACCUUCUCAAGAGGAAGGUUUAAAGGCUGAGGGGACUAUAAAGGCAUGAUGUUAAGUAGUUCUGAUAUUUCAAGUUGGAUUCCUAGACUGAGGCUGGAUUCACUUGGCAACAGAGAAACUAAAGAUGGAAUUCAAGAAGUACAAACAUUUAGUGUUCAGGAGAGAAUAACCUGAUUGACACCACAUUUCUGAUCUGGACCUUCAUGUUGUAAAUCAUGGUUGUACAAUAAAUGAUAAAUGU